UAGGUCUUGAGAUCCCGAUGAGAAGUAAAUGCUUUGACCAGAGCUCCGAGCAAAGCCAGAGAAAAGUCACUCACAACCUCUUUUGGAGUUGGUGCACCUGCACGUAACCAUUCUGUCAUCCAAUUUGUUAUUGCAUUAACAUCAUGUCUCUCUGACAGCAUUUGCAGCACUGGGACACCUCUGCUUUCGUCAACUGCCAGAAUGCCCUGAUAUAAAAAGAUAUGACCAGACAUACCAUUUGGUUUCUGUAGUUUCCUCACUACUGAGCCAGUUGCAUCAAAACUCACAGUGGGGGUGGCCAGAUUAGGCAGAUGGCUCGGCUCGGGAUCACCAAACUCCAUCAGUUUUGUUGCCUCUGAUGCCCCCCAUACAUGGGGUUCCAUUCUACCCUCACAUAGUUCUUUGGAUAUCUGCACACGCAAUUGCCCAGAAAUUGCACGCUUGGGACAGCCAGUGUGCAGGGUGUCAUCAGUGUUUGUGACAAAACACUUGAGCACCAUCGGGGUGUUCAUUUCAGGCUCUCGGUCACAUUUUAUUAGAAUGUUGGCAUGACACUCCUUACAGUUGCCUCUGAUUUCGAUGUAUUUCUCUCUGUCUGAUGGGUAGACCUUAGCUCUUUUAAAGGCAAAUGUGCAAGAGCUCUUCACUUCUUGCCAGAUAUGAGAAUUUAUCACAUGCGUCCAGAUGCCAGGUUUCAAAAUUGUAUAUUCUUUUUUUUGUGUUUUAGAGAACUUGUUUUUGUACUCAACUUUUUCAGGCAUGAAUUCAAUCCAUUUCUGAAAUGGAACUUGAAGAUCAAAAGUCCAGCAGUCUUUUGGUCUGGGGGAAAAAGACCCUGGCUCAAAGUCAGUGUCAUCACUACUGACACUUGUUUCAUGCUCACUUUCACAAGUAUGCCCUAAAGCAGUCCAGAUGUUGUGUCUGUUUAAUUUCACAAAAGUGUAUAGAGCCUUUGGGGUGAUCUUGUUUUCUAGCUGCUCACUAAGCUCUGUCCAGAUUCUCUGAUUAGGAGUAGCUAUGUUGCCAUAUUGUACUAUUGCCUCUCUUGAUGAACACAGGACUGUGAACAUGGAAUCCCUGUCAACUGCUGGUUUCUUGGGCAUCUGGUAUAAGCAAAAUGAAAUUACCCACAUAUCCUGACUAUAAGGUCAUUCAUAGCAUAGACGUAUUUUCAUGGAUAACUGUAUUGGUCAGAAUAUUAGGAUAAUAUAAUGUACUAACAAUAAAUGUGAACCUCCUUUUGAAAACCAGGCUAAAGUAUCAUAAACAAUGAGGUCCUGAGCAAAAAAAAAGAUUUUAACUAUUAUUUUCAAAUUGUGAUUUGGAAAUUGUGAACUGGUUAAUUAAAUAUAUCAAUGUUAUAUUUUCACAGAAUGCUUAUUGAAAGAUAUGAAGAUAUUUUCACACACUGUUCUUUACAUUAUGUAGGAUGAUUUUAUGAAUAAACAGCAAACCACCCAAAAAUGACUAAAAUGACAAUGACUGAAAAAAUAACUUUAACUCUGUUUUCACUGGCAGGGUUAAACAUAAGAAUAUUAUAUGGCCCUUUCUGUAAAAACAGAGCUGAAGUGUUUUGUAUGUGAUUUGCUGUUUUUAACAUGAAAUCAUCCUACAUAAUGUUAAGAACAGUGUGUGAAAAUACCUUCAUAUCUUUAAAAUCGACUAAGUAAUACCAUAACACAAAUUGAAAUCUUAGUGAAAAUGAAUGGUUGAAAUCAAACUUUGUUGCUCAUGAUCUUAUAGGCUAUGAGACUUGAGCCUGGGGUCACAAUUUAGAGACGUGUAGCUGUAAUUAGCAUUUCAUGACGGAUACUGAUAUUAGCAAGGAGUUUUUGGUUGAAUAAAUAUUGACAAUCGAA